UACGUAGGGGGCAAGCGUUGUCCGGAUUUAUUGGGCGUAAAGAGCGUGUAGGCGGCUUGGUAGGUCCGCUGUGAAAACUCGAGGCUCAACCUCGAGAUGUCGGCGGAAACCACUUGGCUAGAGUCCGGAAGAGGAGAGUAGAAUUCCUGGUGUAGCGGUGAAAUGCGCAGAUAUCAGGAAGAACACCCGUGGCGAAGGCGGCUCUCUGGGACGGUACUGACGCUGAGACGCGAAAGCGUGGGGAGCGAACAGG
rnacentral:rRNA from 1 species